rnacentral:lncRNA from 1 species
CCAAACAAUAACAACAAAAUAGUAGCAACAUAAUAGUAAAAUAGUAGCAAAAUAAGGAGAAAAUAAUAAGAAAAUAAUAUUAAAAAAGCAUAUUUUUUUUGUCAUUUAGUGAACUCGGGCCGGGCCGGGCACGGGCCAAGAAUGCCUUACCCGAGGCCCGGCUCAUUUUUUUUAAAUGGGCCUUAUUUUUUUGCCCAAGCCUAUUUUUCGGGCCUAUAUUUUUGCCCAAACCCUCCCACAUUUCGGGCAAGCCUUCGGGCCGGGCUGCACACCUCUAAAUCACAUGGCAGACAACCAUUUUGAAGAUUUUCCUGAAAUGAGAAAAAAUAUAUUUAUGUACGCACUAAAGAUCAAAGAGGGAGCAGAUAGCUUUGUAUCAUAAAAAAAUUUUAAGAUUUGAGUUUAUAUUUGUUAGUUCUUAUAAAUAUAUCUUAGUAAUAAAAUCUUAUACCACUCAAAGUUUUGAAAAAAAAUGACAGUAACAAAAAAGUAAUAUGAAAAACAACGAAAAAUAAAAAUCGAAAAAAUACAAAUAUAAUAAUUAUAAACUAACAAAAAGGAAAACAACACCGACACCUACAUUUAGAGGUGUGCAUGGGCCGGGCCGAAUCGCCCGAAAUGUGGGAGGGUUUGGGUAAAAAUAUAGGCCCAAAAAAUGGGCUUAGGCAAAAAAAUAAGGCCCGUUUAAAAAACGGGCCGGGCCUCGGGUAAGGCAUUCUUGGCCCGGGCCCGGCCUGGCCCGAAUUCACUAAAUGACAAAAAAAAUCUGUUUUUUUAAUAUUAUUUUCUCCCUAUUUUGAUACUAUUUUGCUAUUAUGUUGCUAUUUUGUUGUUAUUGUUUGGAUAUUGUAUAAAACUUAUUUUAUUGUUAAUUUUUUUAUUAUUUUAAAGACAUUUGCUAAUUUUGUUACUAUUUUAGAGUCAUUUGCUUGUUAAGUUGCAUCUAUUUUAGUGUUAUUUAAGUAUACAUAUUUUUUAAAAUUUAUUUUCAAUUUGUUGAGAAAUAUUUAUUUUGAUAUUUUUAGUAUUUUUGAUGGUUUAUAUAUAUAUUAAAAUUAUAUAAAAAUAAUAUAAAAAUUAAUAUGGGCAGGCCGGGUCGGGCUCGGGUUUUAACAUUUUUAUUCGGGCUGGGCUUGGACAAAAUUUUAGGCCCAUUUUUGGGCUGGGCCGGGCCUAAGCCUAACAAACGGGCCUAAAUUUUUAGUUGGGCCUAGCCCGAAUCCUGUUCGGCCCGGCCCAUGCACACCUCUACCUACAUCCAAUGAUUUAAUGAGACAAGUUGUGUACCGAUUAUAAACAAAAUCGAAUGAGACAAUAAUGAAACAGAACCGGGCACUAAAAAAACCCAAAUAGGAAACUAAAUCACCAUAAACGAACCAAAAAAAAAUCAAACAAGACAGAAAUGACCCAAAACCACAACCAAAAUAGCCACGAAUCGGUUAAAAAAUCGACAAAAAAAAUGAGGAUAGACUUAACUAAAACUGAAAUAAUACCAAACCAUAGACGACGUACCCAAACCAAAUUGCAACGAACCAUACCAACUCGACACAAAACCAAUCAAACCACUGAAACCGAGCCGAUACAAAAUGAGCCCAAGAUAGACCAAGUUCAUUAACUAUUAAAACAGAACCAUUAUCCCGAGCACUAAGACCCAAAACUUAAACCUAAAAACAAAUCCACUAUCACAAACCAAAAAGAACAGGAAACUGAUCCCACAUGACAAACAACAAGACCAAUACCUACAAACCAAAAAAGAAGCCAUUAUACCCCGAACCGAACCCGACCCAAAUCAAUGAAAACUACAAACUUAGGCGGAACACAAUCCCAAACGAUAAAAUUGAAACCCAAUAACCCAAGCCACAACAGUUUUUUGCUAAGCAAAAAAUAAAAAGAAAUAGAUUGUAAGACAAUAGCUAAAAUAGUAAACAGAGGGAUACACAAAAUUCAAAAAUAAAAAAUAUAUACUAAAAGAUAAACAAACAAAAAGAACAACCAAACCAAGAUCAAUAGACUUGAAACAUGAAACGAAACAGUGAAUUGUAAAGCAGAAAACAAAAAUCCUAAAAAAAAAAACCCCUUAAAUACGAGUAAAAAAGCAUAGAUUUGAAACUAAAUCAAACAAGGCAAAAGAAAAUUUUGAACUUAAAAUUCAUACCUGAAUAUCAAUCUACGAUGAAGCAGGGGAUUUCAAUAUCAAUAAAAACAGAAACCGCAGAGGAAAACUUUGGGUCUUUCUCACACACGAAAACUCUCUUCAUACUGUCGCUUGACAGGAAAAAAUAGAAAAGAGGCCGAGAGAAAAAAAAAUUUCAUUUAUUUUUUACUGGUUAGUUUUAUUAGGAAUUAAUUGCAGAAAAUUGUUCAUUUCCAAGAGUCACUUUAUUAGGAGUUGAGCCAAAUUAA